UGAUGAGAUGGUGCUGUGUGCUGCUCUCCUUCAUCUCUCCAGCAAACACAAUGUACUGACUCUAAAACAGUUACUUGGAUGGAGGAGGAGAAGCAGUGGCUAUGGCAAACUUGGAAUAGGAGAAGGUGGGUCCUAGUCUGGGCCCAGCGACCUCUAACUCUGUGAUGACCCUGGAUUUUCAGACCCAAGUGACUUGCCCAUGGCCACAGAAGAACUGGUGGCAGAUCUGCUUCCUAUCUGUAGCUCUUUCCACUGCUCACAUGGCCACUUGUGUUCAGCAGCUGGUGACUAGACCAGCUCUCAGUUGGCAGCAGCAUAGCAAAUACAGACUCCUGUGGACAUCUAGUAAUGCUGUGAUAUGGAUGAUUGAGCCCACUCUGUGCUAUGCACAUUACCUACAUCAGCUCAGUAAUUUUAAAAUUCAAAGCCUAUGACAGGUGUGUUUUCCUAGGUUCAAUAUAAAUAUGUGGGAAGUAGAGCUGAGAGGGUGAUUUGCCUGAAGUCACAGGUUUAAAAUUUGACAAGACAUCCAGGACUAGCAUCAAAGACCCUUAAGUUCAAGUCAUUCAUCAAGGGGGACUGCCUUUGGUUUCUGCUCUUGGCUCAAACUAACUGAGAUAUUAGUACUUCUACAGCCUCCCCAUCUACCUGCCUCCAGAUAUAGCCGAACCCAAGGUGCAGAAUCUAUUCACCUAACCAUUGCACCAUACUGCCCUGCUAGGGAGGAGUAUGUUGGGCCAUGGACUCUGACUCAGAAUUAUGGAAAUAUUCCAUAAAGAUAGUUUUUUAAUAAUCUCAGCAUUCCUGAUUAGAAAACCAGUUGGCCAACAGGGCACCCUUCUAGGGAGCCGUGGCUGUCCUUGGUACACUGGGAAAGGGUCCUGGAGACAAAGCCCAGUUCUCCUCUAUGCCCUCCAGCUUCUGAGAAAGGGUUUCUUCUCCUUCUGCAGUGUUUAUAGGCAGGCUAUACACUGGAUCUGGCCAGUGGGUGACCUCCCUCACAGUGAGAGUUUGUCUAGAAGCCUCCAAAGAGGGAAAAAAAAGAAACCUUUGUAAUCACUCUCGGGCUCCAGCUGCUAAAGCAGACAAGAAAGCAGCCCCAAGAUCCUGGAAACUCUUGCCCAAAGGAGAUCCUGUUUCAGUGUCUUUGUGUGAAAGUUGGUGUUGAGGGGACGGGGGAAGAUGGAAAUGCUGGAGUGAUUAGUGCUUGGCAAUUCUUAUGUAGGGGCAAUUGUCACCUACAAAAUGGCCAGAGCAACUUCAAGCACUGUUUGCUCUCUUGUAUGGAAGAGACUAAUUCCUGAGAUAACCUUCAGAAUUGAUAACUGGGGAGUUUGUCUGUUUUCCAAAUGGAUAGGCCAAAUCCGGCCCUAGGAGACUUAGUAACUGGCAUUCUGUCCCAGAACCCUGGGGUGGAGGCAGAGAAAGAAGCCAACUUGCCUGAUGUGUUGCCAAGUGCCUCCCUCACUCUGGGUAUCAUGACAUCAGGUCAUCUAAUGUGCCUCCUGUGACAUUCGAUUCUAGGAAAAAAUGCCUGGCUUUGUCAAAGAGAACUAGCUGACCUCAGGAGAGAAUGUACCCAGAAUCACGUGGCCCCUUGGGGCAGACCUGAGGUAGAGUCCCUUCAGUUUCACAAGCAACUGACUCUAACUUAAAGUCACUGGUGCUUGUGGAUCCAAAGCUCAUGAAACAUGGUCUAUGAGGUUUUUGAUUUGUCUUAUACUGAUUGUGCCCUCACCAAGUGCCACUGCUAAAAUGCCUCUUUUUCAGGGAAGCCUUCCCAUAACCCCCGUCAAGAUGAGGUCCCCUGUGAUUUUAUUCCUGGGGUUCUCCCUGGCAGUCCUAAUCCCAAUAAUAAUUUAAAUAAUUAUUUGCCCAAUUAUUUGUUUAAUAUCAGUCACCUCUCCCAAGCUGUCAGCUGUACAGAGGAGGUUUAGUGUCUGGCUGAUUCAUCAGGACCUAGUAUAGUCCUUAGUAGCCAUUUAAGAAACAUUUGUGGAAUAAAGAAGGAGGGGACAUAGAGACUAUUAUAUUUACCAAAGGAUGAGAAAAUGUUGGAACUAGAAUUUCCAGGAGUGAUAAACUAACUUGUCCAAGGUUACAUGGCUGGGUAAGAAGACAUCUAGGACUAGCAUGUAAGAGCCUCAGGGUCAAGUCAUUCAUCAAGGGAAUUACUUUUAGUUUCUGCUCUUGGCUCAAACUAUAUGAGAUAUUAGUUCAUCUGCAGAAUCUCCCCAUCCCUCUGCCUCUAGAUAUAGUUGGAAUCAAUUCACUUUUCUGCAUUCGCAUUUCCAUAAACCACUAUCAUCUCUUGGCUGGAAUUCAAGAGUUUCCUAGGUUUUUCAAAUGCUUCCCUGUCCCUCCUUUACCGUCUUCUAGACAAAAAGAUUGGGGUGAGCUUUUAAAAACAUGCAGCAUAUUGUACCAUUCCCCAUCUUAUAGCCCACCAGUGGUGUCCGUAAUGUAAUCACAGUCACUCCUUACAAAGGCCACAAGCUUUAUAUCAUCUGAACCUUGUGUCCUUCUCCAAAUUUCUCUACACUCUUGCAUUCACUAGCUACACUCCACCCAUGCUGACCUUUUUUUCUUCUGUUGCUCAAACAUUUUAAGUUUGCAGUUUCUUUUGGCUGGAACACUUUCUGGCAAAUCUGCACAUCUUUUUCACACAAUGUCACCUCCUCUGACCAUCCUGUAUAAAGUAGCUCUCCUGUGCCGCCACACUACUCUCUGUUACAUUUUUCCAUUUUGGUGACUCCAAAGCAUAUAUCACUCUCUGAAAUCAUCUUCUUUACUUGUUUUCUUGUAUAUUAUCUGUCAAAUCAUACCCUAAUGUGACUGCCAAGAAUUUGGGGACUUUGUCUUGUACACUAUUGUGUGUCCAGCACCUAAACCAGCACUGCAUAUGUAUUUAUGGAAUUGGUUGUGCAAAUUAGUGUGUAAUCACAUCUAUAUAAUUGGAGAUGCUACAAUUGAUUUUUUUCCUGAAGGUGAUGACAAAAAGCGAAUGCAUAUAAAACCCUAGAAUAUAUGCUUGGACAGGGAGGGCACUUGGGUAGGUCAGCUGUUCCCCAGAUUGGUCAGCAUCAGAAUCACCAGGAGAGUUGGUUAAAAAAAAAAAAAAAAAAA